UACGUAGGUGGCAAGCGUUGUCCGGAAUUACUGGGCGUAAAGAGCUCGUAGGUGGUUUGUCGCGUUGUUCGUGAAAACUCACAGCUCAACUGUGGGCGUGCGGGCGAUACGGGCAGACUUGAGUACUGCAGGGGAGACUGGAAUUCCUGGUGUAGCGGUGGAAUGCGCAGAUAUCAGGAGGAACACCGGUGGCGAAGGCGGGUCUCUGGGCAGUAACUGACGCUGAGGAGCGAAAGCGUGGGGAGCGAACAGG
rnacentral:rRNA from 1 species